rnacentral:rRNA from 1 species
UGGGGAAUAUUGCACAAUGGGCGCAAGCCUGAUGCAGCCAUGCCGCGUGUAUGAAGAAGGCCUUCGGGUUGUAAAGUACUUUCAGCGGGGAGGAAGGGAGUAAAGUUAAUACCUUUGCUCAUUGACGUUACCCGCAGAAGAAGCACCGUCUAACUCCGUGCCAGCAGCCGCGGUAAUACGGAGGGUGCAAGCGUUAAUCGGAAUUACUGGGCGUAAAGCGCACGCAGGCGGUUUGUUAAGUCAGAUGUGAAAUCCCCGGGCUCAACCUGGGAACUGCAUCUGAUACUGGCAAGCUUGAGUCUCGUAGAGGGGAGUAGAAUUCCAGGUGUAGCGGUGAAAUGCGUAGAGAUCUGGAGGAAUACCGGUGGCGAAGGCGGCCCCCUGGACGAAGACUGACGCUCAGGUGCGAAAGCGUGGGGAGCAAACAGG